GACGAAAAGACCCCGUGAACCUUUACUAUAGCUUUGCACUGGACUUUGAAUUUGCUUGUGUAGGAUAGGUGGGAGGCUUUGAAGCGUGGACGCCAGUUCGCGUGGAGCCAACCUUGAAAUACCACCCUGGCAACUUUGAGGUUCUAACUCAGGUCCGUUAUCCGGAUCGAGGACAGUGUAUGGUGGGUAGUUUGACUGGGGCGGUCUCCUCCCAAAUAGUAACGGAGGAGCACGAAGGUUAGCUAAUCACGGUCGGACAUCGUGAGGUUAGUGCAAUGGCAUAAGCUAGCUUAACUGCGAGACAGACACGUCGAGCAGGUACGAAAGUAGGUCAUAGUGAUCCGGUGGUUCUGUAUGGAAGGGCCAUCGCUCAACGGAUAAAAGGUACUCCGGGGAUAACAGGCUGAUGAUGCCCAAGAGUCCAUAUCGACGGCAUCGUUUGGCACCUCGAUGUCGGCUCAUCGCAUCCUGGGGCGGUAGUACGUCCCAAGGGUUGGGCUGUUCGCCCAUUAAAGUGGCACGCGAGCUGGGUUCAGAACGUCGUGAGACAGUUCGGUCCCUAUCUGGUGUGGGCGUUGGAUGAUUGAUGGGAGCUGCUCCUAGUACGAGAGGACCGGAGUGGACGAACCGCUGGUGUUCGGGUUGUCAUGCCAAUGGCAUUGCCCGGUAGCUAUGUUCGGAACGGAUAACCGCUGAAAGCAUCUAAGCGGGAAGCCGGCCCAAAGAUGAGUCAUCCCUGAACUUUAAGUUCUGGAAGGGUUGUUAUAGACGAUGACGUUGAUAGGCAGGGUGUGGAAGCGUUGUAAGGCGUUAAGCUAACCUGUACUAAUUGCCCGAGAGGCUUAACC
rnacentral:rRNA from 1 species